rnacentral:lncRNA from 1 species
AGCAGGGUUGGGGUACUUGGGGUACCGCGCUAGGAAUUUGUGGCAUAGCAACCCCAAGCUCUUCUCCUUCCGACUCGGCUGGGAUUUCUCAAAUUCGUCUCCUGAUAAGUGUUCCUGCAGAGGGAAAGGACAGACAUUGCCUCUAGGCAGACCGCGCCAACAGACAGCAGUAAAUUCCUCCAUCAAACCCUUCUGUCACGAGACUUCAAGCAAACACAGAAUCUACAGUGACAGUCCUCUCUCAGGUUCGAGAUGGCUGUAGCAAGCACCCACCUGUGCACUGAUCCGGGCUGCGGACGGAGCGCACGAGCCCGGGUUCCGAUGGAGCACGCACCGAGCCUGCAUCGGGGGAGAUGCUGAAGUUUCUCGCCUGACACACACGUGCACAGGCUCAGAAGGAAGGACUUGUGAAGUGGCCUGAGAACAACCCUCCAAUUCAGCCUCUGCGCUCUAAGCGCACGACCGGGCAUUUACAAAGGGCUUUGGGAUCUUGACCCCCUUUUUCAGGCUUCUUUCAAUACACGAAGUACUGGGGCGAGGGAAGGAUUCCCUAGGUGCCGAAAUCACCGCGAUGCCAAAGCGCACCGUACGCUGCGCUCCCGGUCCCAGGGAUGUGAACCUGUUUUGUACAAAUUGGUGGCUUGUUUGGGUUCUUCAGAAUUGUGGCUUCUGAUUCACUGGAGGUGGCUGUGCCCCUACCCCGCAACCCCCUGAAGUGGCUGGCAUUGGUGCAAAUGAGGCUGUUGAACCUGAUCGUGUUCUCUCUGGCCUUGGACCUGAGUGCUGCAGAGAGAGAGAGAGAGGGAGACUCUGAUGGCUCUGAAGAUCAUGGCCCUUCCCAUAUGAGGUUCUAGGCAGUAUUCCUGAGCCGGUCUCUUGCUCACUCCCCAGCCCUUUUGAAUACCCCUUUUCGGUAUGAAUUUGAUGAUCUAAUUUGACUAUCUCUCAAAUGCUCAGGUGUGUUACAGUUUUACUCUUCACUGUAUCAGUUUGUCACACGGUUAAGAGAGCAGGAUCUACCCUUCACUCGGGGUCAUUCUCUGCAUCCUAGCUGAUGUUCAGUGAAAGCUCCAAGGGUUUGUCAAUGUGGAAACUGGUUGGCAGUCAAUCGAUGGUCUCGCAGCCACAGUUAGAGAUGAGCUGCAUCUGGGUCUGCCCAUGUGCUUUUAGAAUAGGCUGAACUUUAUAACACAUUCAAUCUUUGGAAUAAACUGCCACCGUUUUAUUGUUAGUUGAA